UACGUAGGGUGCGAGCGUUAAUCGGAAUUACUGGGCGUAAAGCGUGCGCAGGCGGUUAUAUAAGACAGUUGUGAAAUCCCCGGGCUCAACCUGGGAACUGCAUCUGUGACUGUAUAGCUAGAGUACGGUAGAGGGGGAUGGAAUUCCGCGUGUAGCAGUGAAAUGCGUAGAUAUGCGGAGGAACACCGAUGGCGAAGGCAAUCCCCUGGACCUGUACUGACGCUCAUGCACGAAAGCGUGGGAAGCAAACAGG
rnacentral:rRNA from 1 species